UGGGGAAUAUUGCACAAUGGGCGCAAGCCUGAUGCAGCCAUGCCGCGUGUGUGAAGAAGGCCUUCGGGUUGUAAAGCACUUUCAGCGGGGAGGAAGGCGUUAAGGUUAAUAACCUUGGCGAUUGACGUUACCCGCAGAAGAAGCACCGGCUAACUCCGUGCCAGCAGCCGCGGUAAUACGGAGGGUGCAAGCGUUAAUCGGAAUUACUGGGCGUAAAGCGCACGCAGGCGGUCUGUCAAGUCGGAUGUGAAAUCCCCGGGCUCAACCUGGGAACUGCAUUCGAAACUGGCAGGCUAGAGUCUUGUAGAGGGGGGUAGAAUUCCAGGUGUAGCGGUGAAAUGCGUAGAGAUCUGGAGGAAUACCGGUGGCGAAGGCGGCCCACUGGACAAAGACUGACGCUCAGGUGCGAAAGCGUGGGGAGCAAACAGG
rnacentral:rRNA from 1 species